CUUCUCCCCAACUCCCUUUCUGGGCAAGGGUACAGCACUGCAUCUAACUGAAGAAACCAGAUCCAGCCAGGGGAAGGGUCAGGCCAAAGGAAAAACACACUUCCAGACGCCAGCUGAACAAGGCUCUGCCGAAGACCAGCAAAGCUCGAUCUUCAUUACAAGGAAAAUUUUAUGGUGAAUGGACUGAGAAGAUAGAGACAGUGACUCCCUCCAGAGCGAAGGGCAGGUGUGCUCACAGGAUUGGAAGGCAGAGAGAUCUCUCUGCAGAGUCAAGAGCAGCCAGGCUUACUGUCCAGUAGAAACGAUUCGGGUACCGGAAAUUCAAGGAUCCUCUCCUGUGAUGCGAGCCACAGACUGUACAGUGCUGGUGGCCUCCUGCACGUCAUCCUGGGGAGAUCGGGUUUCCGAGAACUGGUGCCAAAAAAUGCUGAUACCAUGACAACUGUUACUACCAUGAGUAAUAAACGUCCUUUGUCUCUGA